AACUCUUCUCGGCCUUUUGGCUAAGAUCAAGUGUAAUUAAUAUCUGUUCUUAUCAGCUUAAUAUCUGAUACAUCCUCUGUCUGAGGACAAUAUAUUAAAUGGAUUUUUGGAACUAGGAGUUGGAAUAGGAGCUUGCUCCGUCCACUCCUGCGUCAACCUGGUAUUGCUGUACCUCCAGGAGCGGUGCACCCCCC
rnacentral:snRNA from 1 species